UACGGAGGGUGCAAGCGUUGUUCGGAAUUAUUGGGCGUAAAGAGCGUGUAGGCGGUAUGAUAAGUCAGAUGUGAAAGCCCUGGGCUUAACCUAGGAAGUGCAUUUGAUACUGUCAUUCUUGAGUAUGGGAGAGGAGAGUGGAAUUCCCAGUGCAGAAGUGAAAUUCGUAGAUAUUGGGAGGAACACCCGUGGCGAAGGCGACUCUCUGGACCAAUACUGACGCUGGGACGCGAAAGCGUGGGGAGCAAACAGGAUUAGAUACCCUGGUAGUCCACGCCGUAAACUAUGAGAACUAGGUGUAGCGGGUAUUGACCCCUGCUGUGCCGAAGCUAACGCAUUAAGUUCUCCGCCUGGGGAGUACGGCCGCAAGGCUAAA
rnacentral:rRNA from 1 species